rnacentral:lncRNA from 1 species
GAAGAGGGAACUAUUUAUUUCUACAAUAUUAUCAUGUAUUACCCUUUUGUAUCCUUUUCAGAACAAAGAAAAAAGAAAACAACAACAAUCCCAUCCUUGAAGGAGUGAAUAACCUUACUUAGGAGAUGAGACUAAAAUACAGAAAUAUAUAUUUAUCUAUGUAUGUACACAUAUGUGAAUAAAUAUAUACAUUUGCAAUUGAGGAUCAUAUACAGGAUUGUCAAGCUUAAAGAAAUGAUCUUCUUGUGGCCAGCCUGCUGGUGAUGAAGAACUUCUCUAAAUUGAGUGCUAGGCAAAUUGAAAGACUGCAAUUGGUUCCUGUAAAGUGGGGAGCCACAGGAAGUAACAUCAAGAAAACUGCUUUAAAAAGGUCAGCUUGA